rnacentral:rRNA from 1 species
GCCAGGGAAGUAAAAGUCGUAACAAGGUCUCCGUUGGUGAACCAGCGGAGGGAUCAUUACCGAGUUAUACAACUCCCAAACCCACUGUGAACCUUACCUCAGUUGCCUCGGCGGGAACGCCCCGGCCGCCUGCCCCCGCGCCGGCGCCGGACCCAGGCGCCCGCCGCAGGGACCCCAAACUCUCUUGCAUUACGCCCAGCGGGCGGAAUUUCUUCUCUGAGUUGCACAAGCAAAAACAAAUGAAUCAAAACUUUCAACAACGGAUCUCUUGGUUCUGGCAUCGAUGAAGAACGCAGCGAAAUGCGAUAAGUAAUGUGAAUUGCAGAAUUCAGUGAAUCAUCGAAUCUUUGAACGCACAUUGCGCCCGCCAGCAUUCUGGCGGGCAUGCCUGUUCGAGCGUCAUUUCAACCCUCGAGCCCCCCCCGGGGGCCUCGGUGUUGGGGGACGGCACACCAGCCGCCCCCGAAAUGCAGUGGCGACCCCGCCGCAGCCUCCCCUGCGUAGUAGCACACACCUCGCACCGGAGCGCGGAGGCGGUCACGCCGUAAAACGCCCAACUUUCUUAGAGUUGACCUCGGAUCAGGUAGGAAUACCCGCUGAACUUAAGCAUAUCAAUAAGCGGA